rnacentral:rRNA from 1 species
CAUGGUUGUCGUCAGCUCGUGCCGUGAGGUGUCGGGUUAAGUCCCGAUAACGAGCGCAACCCUUAUCGUUAGUUGCCAUCUGGUAAUGCAGGGGACUCUAGCGAACUGCCACCGUAAGGUGAGAGGAAGUGGGGAGUGACGUCAAAUCAGCACGGCCCUUAUGUCCAGGGCUACACACGUGUUACAAUGGUCGGUACAGAGGGCAGCUACCUGGUGACAGGAUGCUAAUCUCGAAAACCGGUCUCAGUUCGGAUCGAAGUCUGCAACUCGACUUCGUGAAGCUGGAUUCGCUAGUAAUCGCGCAUCAGCUAUGGCGCGGUGAAUACGUUCCCGGGCCUU